CAUUUAGAAAAUAGUUUCACCACCAGAGGGAGACAAAUCCACCAAUAACAGUCCAGUUGAUUCCCAGUGAAACCAGGAAGAGGUGAUCUAUCUGUCCAUGAAUCCGUCCUACAUUGUGCUAAUGCGCAUGCGCACAUCGAUGCUUCCUCAUUUCUCCAUCAUGAAACAUUUUCAUCAGAACUUUUCUCCUUCAUCAUCAAGACUUUAUCAACCUGCCUCUGAUUUCACUGCAGAUCUUCUACUUCCUGGUUCUGCUACUUUGAAAGAAAAACUACAAACCAGGUGAGCUGUGACGUCGUCAUUUGCGCAACAGUCCUCACAUUUACUUUCAGUUUAAACUCACCUGUCCAAUUCUUCAGUUCGGUUCUACUUGGUUCUGUUGGGUCUCAUUCUGUUCAGAUCUUCAGAUCUUUGGACCGUCUGAAUAAACUGUGAAGGUAGAAAGUGUGUGUGAGCUGAAGUGAAUUCAGCGGCAUGGAUCAGUGUGAAGAUGAGAGCCAGAGCAAAGGUCAGAGGAUCCAUCAGAGACUCGAACCAGAACCAGAACUAGAACCCA